rfam:Ricinus communis cultivar Hale ctg_1100012346068, whole genome shotgun sequence.
AUGGAAGUGAUGAUUAUUUCCCCAGAUGAUCGACGCUGAACAAACUGAGCGUUUUUAUUUCUCUUUGAAUUUAU